GGCUGUGUAUAGAUGGUGACAAGAACUCGAAACUCCAAAGGACUAGACACUAAGACCAACAACUCGACACAAACCGAAGCAACGCAAAUUGAACAAGCCCUAACUAAAACGGUACUAGCCAAGGCACAAAGGUUUAAUAGGAUUAUGGAAAAACUAAUCUACUAUAUUUUUUUUGGCUUUUCUGGACUAUAGGAAAUUAAUUAAAAACAGCAAAGGAUUAGAAGUCUCUCACCGAAGAACCUUGCUCUGAUUACCAACUGAUGCGAACCCGCUAGGGUUUUUGGCCUGAUCUUUCGAUGAGAGGCGCUGGAUAACUCGAUUAGUGGAUGGAGAUGACGUUCACGGCCCGACUACAGCCCUCAAGACCGCGCCUUAGCAACCGAUACACCACGUCCAACAGCCGUCACGAUCUUGUGGAGCGCGACAACCAGCCCCUAGGGCUCCCGUCCUGCAAGCAAUCGAAGAACUAGCAAGAACGAGGAAACAAGCACUGAAUUUGCAAGAUGAAUUGAAGGUUUCAAACUGAAUCUGAAUCAACAAUGGGGUUCCGAAGACAAGG
rnacentral:lncRNA from 1 species